CGGGGGGCAGCAGUGAGGAAUAUUGGACAAUGGGCGAAAGCCUGAUCCAGCAAUACCGCGUGAGUGAAGAAGGCCUUAGGGUUGUAAAGCUCUUUCAGCAGGGAAAAUAAUGAUGGUACCUGCAAAAGAAGUUCCGGCUAACUCCGUGCCAGCAGCCGCGGUAAUACGGAGGGAACUAGCGUUGUUCGGAUUUACUGGGCGUAAAGGGCGCGUAGGCGGUCUGUUAAGUUAAAAGUGAAAGCCUGGGGCUUAACCCCAGAACUGCUUCUAAAACUGGCAGACUAGAGUGCGGGAGAGGAUAGUGGAAUUCCUAGUGUAGAGGUGAAAUUCUUAGAUAUUAGGAGGAACACCGGUGGCGAAAGCGACUAUCUGGAACGUUACUGACGCUGAGGCGCGAAAGCGUGGGGAGCAAACAGGAUUAGAUACCCGAGU
rnacentral:rRNA from 1 species